rnacentral:rRNA from 1 species
CCUACGGGUGGCAGCAGUGAGGAAUAUUGGUCAAUGGGCGAGAGCCUGAACCAGCCAAGUCGCGUGAGGGAGUACUGCCCUAUGGGUUGUAAACCUCUUUUGUCGGGGAGCAAAAGCCGGACGUGUCCGGCUGUGAGAGUACCCGAAGAAAAAGCAUCGGCUAACUCCGUGCCAGCAGCCGCGGUAAUACGGAGGAUGCGAGCGUUAUCCGGAUUUAUUGGGUUUAAAGGGUGCGCAGGCGGAUUUUUAAGUCAGUUGUGAAAGUUUGCGGCUCAACCGUAAAAUUGCAGUUGAAACUGGCAGUCGUGAGUACAGUAGAGGUGGGCGGAAUUCGUGGUGUAGCGGUGAAAUGCUUAGAUAUCACGAAGAACUCCGAUUGCGAAGGCAGCUCACUGGACUGCAACUGACACUGAGGCUCGAAAGUGUGGGUAUCAAACAGGAUUAGAUACCCGGGUAGUC